ACAUUUGCGAAACAAUAGAUCGAGGACAAAAUGCUGAUUCACUGAAAGUGUGUUGAUGUGCUGAUGGAAUGCUGUGAAAAAUUAUCAUUUCAUAGUGAAUUUAGUUUAUUACAAGCGAAUUUAGUAAUAUUUGAUCGAAUAUUAAAUAAUAUUGAGCGAUUGUGAAGUAUAUAAGGUGAAUCUGUGACGUAGGUUGCGUGAAAUUAAUAACUUUGUCUUUCGUAGAUCAUCAUCAUAACUUCGUUUACUGGAUCGAGAAAUGCUCUACAAAUUUCUCUAUAAUUGAUUAUUCUAAACUAAAGGGUAUGAACUUGAAUCUAAACAUACAAUGAAUUAGUAUAAUUCCUAUCCUGAAUUUGUUAAAAAACUAUAGGUGCAUGCACUCCACAUGCAAUAUUGACUGCUAGGAGGAAGGCCUAUACUGAAGAAUUGUAGUAGACGAUAAGGAGGCACUAAACGUAAGAGUGUUGCUGUAUAUCUUGUGGCAAAAUAUUAAUCUUGUUCUCAUUAAAGGAAAUUUUAACCAACCAAAAAUCCCUGUGGUGGUUCAAUCUUUCGGAAGACAUCCCCUCCAGUUGGCGCGGCCAACACAGAAAGUAAGUUUCGGUCACUCUGUGAUAUUUGCUGGAAACUCAAAGAAAACAGAAGGUCAUUGAAUUUUUGAGACGGUUUAUUCGUAAAAAAAUAUUGGUAAGUUCUACUUUAGCAAAUAUAUACCUUUAAUAUAUAAUAAUAUUUCCCAUUCUUAUAUCACUAUCCCUAUAAGGUUGUUCUUCUUUAUAAUGAUCUCUCGUUAGUGAGUUUUGCUGCUUUUCGCAAUGGAAUAAUUUCAAACAAGUUAUUUUUUGCUGCUACUGCUGCUGCUGCUGCUGCUUAUCUGUCGCUCGUUCUAUAAGAUCGCAUCUGAUGGCUCAUAAUCUUGUGAAAUAGGUUUUUAGUUCUUUGUGGCGUGAACAAAAAAGAUCGGUUGCUUGAUCUCAUCAAGAACCUAAAUUUGGUUGGAUCAAAUACUUUUUGCGGUGUUCAUUCCCUUUCGUUCGAAUGUUUCUUUCAAUGAAUUUUAAUUCCGGAAAAACUCUGCACUAAUUCCUAAUUUCUUUUCGGUAAAACCGCUUGCUAUUCGUUUGCUUGUACUUGCGAGUAUUAUCAUCAACAGCGGUGUGUGUGUGGAUUCUACAUAAUUUAUCUCUGAACAGAAGCGAUUCCUAGUGUUAAUGCAUUAAGUAACUCGUUUUUAUUUUUAUAUUUCUUUAUUAAAACUGGCUGUGAAUAUGUCAUUACAUGGUAAACAGUUUGCUGGGAAAUUUAAAAGCCUGAACGAAAUUAAUUGAAACGUAGGUUUCCUCCCGUUGUUUUCUUUUUUCUCAUCUAUUGCUUUGGUGUUCAUUUCCGCGAUUAAGAUAAAUUUUCUGUUCCUAUUUUUAAAAUAGUUCAAACGUUCGAGUUUGCAUAUCAGUUUUUAACUUGUUUUUGUAUUCCUCUUUUUUGUUUCAGCUCGAUCUCUGAAUGUUUUUUUUUAAAUUUUGUCACUAUUUACAUAAGGCAUUCGUGCAAAUUGAAGCAAUUUUCAAACGUUCCCUUAGGAAAGGUAAACACUCGCUGAAAGCCAAACAGAUCUGACAACGACACACUGGCGUAUGUUUGAAUGAUUUUUCCCGGCUUAAGUUUACGGGAAAAUGGAGUUGUCCCUAAAAUUACGCUUCGGCAAAAAAAAAACAGCUUGAGCUAAAACUCUCAAUACCUACAACGAAAGCUUCUAGUAACUUUCGCAACCAAGAGAAUGAGCGACUUACAGAGAAAUAGGAAAAAGGGCAUAUACCAACUGGAAGCGAUACCGAACGACACCAAAACAAAGCAAUCGGCCGGCAAAGAGCAACGUUGAGUCAGUCUUGUAAAGUAUUUCACACGAGUAGGUUACAUCAUUUGCGUCUCUCCUAGUUUGGAAGAAUUUCGGCUGCCGGAAUUGGUGUACCCGGAUUGUUAUGAGGAUCGUUCGUCGGACACGAGACAAUGACCCAGUCCAGAGGUGAUUGAGAGGUGAGUACUUUUCAUAGUUUCUUUACUCUAAAUAAAUAUUUACAUUAGUUUAUGCAAUCCCCGUAACAUCUCUAUCUAUAAAUAUUAUAUGUCAGGUAUUCCUUACAUGUAAUCUUGUGUUCAUGAGAUUCAAGAAAAUGAAUUUCUUUAGUAGCUUCACUAGGCAUUCCACUAGGAGGUCCACUGGGAACUCAUUCAGAAGUUUCACUGGAAUUUCUUUAGAAGUUCCACUGAGAAUACCUCUAGGAGUGCCACUAAGAUUUUUUUCAGGAACUUCACUGGAAGUUCCAUUAAGAAUUACACUGGGGAGUUCCACUAAGAAUACCUCUACAAAUUUGUCUGGGAAUUCCUUCAGGAGUUUCCCUGGGAAUUCUUCUCGAAGUUCCACUGGGAAUCCCUUCAGGAGUUUCUCCGUGAAUACCUUUAGAAAAUCUUCCGGGAAUUUCUGGCGUUUCCUCUGAGGAGUUCUGCUGCGAAUUCUUCUCAAAAUUCCUCUGGAAAUUCCUUUAAGAGUUCUACUGAAAAUUCAUCAAGAAGUUUCACUGGGAAUGCUUGUCGAAGUUUUUCUGGUAAACUCUCUGGAAUUUCCACCGAGGGCUGCUCAAGAAGUUCCAUUGGGAAUUCUUUCAGGAAUAACAUUGGGAAUUCUUCUCGAGGUUUACUUGGAGUUACUCUACAGGAGUGCCACUGGCUAUUAUUCUCGAAGUUCCUCUGGGAGUUCCUCUUGGAGUUCCACCGAGACUUCCUUAAGGAAUUUCGUCAGAAUUUUUUUUGGGAAGUCUGCUGAGAAUUCUUUUUACAAGUUUCACUGGUAAGUCCUUCUAGAGUUCCACUGGGAAUUCUUCUCGAAGUUCCUCUUGGAAUUCCUCCAGUAUUUCCACCAAUAGCUGUUCUGGGAGUUCUACUAAGAAUUUAUUUAGGAGUUUCACUGAGAAUUAAUUUCGAUAUUCUACUCAAAGUUCCACUUGGAGUUACCCUACGAGUUUCGCUGGGAAUUUCUUUAGGAGUUCAACUGGAUCUCGAAGUUUCUCUAGAAUUGUCACCGAGAGCUGCUCAAGAAGUUCUACUAGGAAUACCUCUAGGAGUUCCACAGUAAAUUCCUCUUGGGGUUACUUUGAGAAUUAUUCAAAUACAAAGAAAUUAAAAAAAAUAUUCCAGGAUUCUCCUGGAAUUCCUCUAGAAAGUCAUCCAAGAAUCUUCGGUGUUUCCUGUGGAGAGUUUCAUUGAGAACUAUUCUAGGAGUUCAACUGGUAGUUGCUCUAGAAGUUCCAAUGAGAAUUUAUUCAAGAGUGUCACUAGAAGUUCCAUUAGGCAUAUCUUUAGGGAAUUUCACUGGGAACUUAUUUGGGAAUUCCUCUCCGAGUUUGUCUGUGAGUUCCUUCAGGAGUUUCACUGGAAAUUCUUCUCAUAGUUCCUCUGGGAAUUCCUCCAGGAAUUCCACCGAGAAUUCUUCAAGAAAACCAACAGGGAAUUUUUGACGUUACCUCUGGGGAGUUCUUCUCGAAGUUCCUCUGGGAAUUUCCACCGAGAGCUGCUCUUCGAGUUUCACUGAGAAUUUACUUGGAAGUUUCACAGGAAAUUCUUUAAGGAGUUACACUGGGAAUUCUUCUCAAAAUUCCACUUAGAGUCACUGUACUGAGUAGUCACUGCUCUACAAGUUUCACUGAGAAUUUACUUGGGAGUUUCACAGGGGAUUAUUUUAGGAGUUUCACCGGAAAUUCCACUCCAAGCUCCUCUAGGAAUUUCUCUAGAAUAGCCACCGACAGCUGCUCUAGAAGCUCUACCAAGAAUACCUCUAGGAGUUUCAUAGAAAAUUCCUCCAAAUGUUGCUUUGAGAAUAAUUCCAUGAGUUUCUCCGGGAAUUUCCCCAGGAGUUUUUCCGACACAUCCUCUAGAAAGUCAUCCAAGAAUUUCCGGUGUUUCCUGUGGGAAGUUCCACGGGGGAAUUGUUCAAAGAGUUCCACUGGGAAUCCCUCCUGGAACUCCAUCUGAAUUUCCUUUGAGAAUUCCUCUAAGGUUUGCUCCUAAGUUCCUACCGGAGUUUCAUAGAGAAUUCUUUAGGAAUUUGCUUCGGGAACUGUUCCUGUGGGAGUUCUUCUAGAAGUUUUCUUGGGAACUUUUGUAGAAAUUCCUUUGAGAUCUACAUAUUCCAGAAGCUCAUUGCGAAGUUCUUUCUGAAGUUUCUUUGAAAGUUCUUCCGUAAACUUUAGGAAUUUGUUCGUAAGCUAGCCCAGGAAUUCUUCCGGAAGUUCUACCGUGAGUUUUUCAAAAGAUUCCCAAGGAAUUGUUCGCGAAUUUUCCAAAAGGUUUUCCAAGAAUACUUCAAGAAGUUCCUCUUACUAAUGCAAAUGUUCUUCCGGAAAUUCUACUGGAAGUUCCUCCGGGAAAUUCUCACGGAAGGUCAACCAGGGGUUGUUUCGGAAGCACCUUCAGAAUAUGCUCAAAAGGCCCUUUGGAUUUCCUUUACAAAGUCAUUUGUGAUCUUUUCCAGAAACUCCUUCGAUAGUUCUUUCGGAAGUUUCUUUGAGCAUUAUUCUGGAAAUUCGGCUAAAAGUUCCUCAAAGAAUUUGUUCGAAAGUUACUCCAAGAACUACUAACUGAAGUUCUACCGUUAGUUUUUUAAAACUUCCUCUGGAGAUUUUUCUGGUCAUUUCUCCGGUAAUUGGUGCAAAUGUUCUUCCGGAAAUUCUUCUGAAAGUUCCUCCGAGAAAUUCUCACGGAAAGUUAUCCAGAAGUUGUUUCGGGAGCACCUUGAGAAAAUGCUCAAAAGGCCUUUUUGAAUUCCUUUAGAAAUUCAUUUGUGAUCUCUUCCAGAAACUCUUUCGACAGUUCUUUUGGAUGUUUCUUUGAGAAUUCUUCCGGAAAUUCGGCUAAAAGGUCCUCUAGGAAUAGGCUGACCAGAUUUGUCCCGUUUAAAUACGGGACACAUUUUGGAAACUCAACAAAAAGGAAAUCAAUGUUCAAAAACAGAACUGCAUGUUUUUAAUAAUGCUAUUUCAGCUGGAAAGAACGAAUAAUUGAGUCAAAAACGUAAACUAUGCUUCAGUGACGAGUGUUUGAACAUUUUGUUGUUCCGUUAAAUACGGGACGGAUGGUCAGCCUAUCUAGGAAUUUGUUCCAAAGUUACUCCAAGAACUCUUCCGGAAGUUCUCAAGGAAUUCUCCCAGGUGCUCCGAGAAUAAUUCUAGAAGUUUUUCCGAGUAUUCUUCAAGAAGUUCCUCUGGAGGAGCUUCCGGAUAUUCCUGAUGAUAAUUGAUGUUAGUUUGUUCAUUUAUUAACGACACUUUACACAAUUGUGCAUUCGUGUCGAUGAUAAUUCAUGCAAAUGUUCUUCCGGAACUUCUUUUGGAAGGCCCUACGAGAAAUUCUCAUGAAAGGUCAUCCAGAAAUUGUUCCGAAAGUACCUUCAGAAAAUGCUCAAAAGGUCCUUUGGAAUUCCUUUAGGAAUUCAGUUGAGAUCUACCAGAACCUUUUUCGACAGACAGUUUUUUCGGGUUUCUUUGAGAAUUUUUCCGGAAAUUCGACUAAAAGGUCCUCCAGGAAUUUGUUCCUAAAUUACUCCAGGAACUCUUCCAGAAGAAAUGCCGUUAGUUUUUCAAAAGUUUCCCAAGAAAUUCUUCCAGGAGUAUUUUCCAGAUGUUUUUCUGAUGAUUCAAGAAGUUCCUACGGAAAUUCGUCCACGAAUUCCUCCGGAGGUUCUUCCGAAUAUAUCUCCUGUGAUUAAUGCAAAUGUUGCUCCGGAUAUUUUUCUGGAAGUUCUUCCGGGAAAUUCUCGCGGAAGGAAAUUCAGGAGUUGUUUCGGAAGCACUUUGACACAAUGCUCAAAAGGCCUUUUAGAGUUCCCAUAGAAAUUCAUUUGCAAUCUCUUCCAGAAGUUUCUUCGACUUCUUUCUUUCGGAAGUUUUUUUUGAAAAUUCUUCCUGAAAUUCGUUUAAAAUUUCUUCCAGGUAUUUGUUCGAAAGUUACUCCAAGAAUUCUUAUGGAAGUUCUACCGUGAGUUUUUCAAUAGUUUCUCAAGGAGUUGCUCCGAUAAUUUUCCACGUUUUUGCUAAAAUAAUUCAAGAAAUUCUUCCUAAAAUACUUCAAUAAGUUCCUCAGGCAAUUCUUUUGGAUAUUCCUGCGGGAACUGAUGUAAAUGGUCCUCUGGAAACUCUUUUGAAAGUUCCUACGGGAAAUUCUCACGGAAUGUCCUCCAGGAAUUGUUCCGAAAAUACCUUCAGAAAUGCUUCCAAAAUUUUUCCAGGUAAUUUCUCCCGGAAAAUACUGCACAAUGAAAUAGUUUUAGAAGUUCACAGUAGAAUUCUUCCGGAAGUUCCUUGGAAAUAUCUAAUGGAAGCAGGGAUGCCAUAUAUACAGAUUUUCUGUAUUAUGCAGAUUUUUGGGCAUAAGUGCAGACUACGUUUUCUAUGACAUACACAUUUUUGAGCUCGAGGGGUUUUUAUUUUUUUGUAUAACAUACAGAUUUUUGAAAAAGUUGAUACAGAUUGGAAGUUUCUCCUUGAAUUUCAGCUGGAAAAUCCUUUCGAUUUGUAUGAAAGUUCUUCCGGAAUUUUACUCAAAAUUUGUUGCGGGAUUUUUAUUCAAAAGAUCCUUCAAGAAAUCUUGCGGAAGGUUUUCAUGAAAUUCUUUCGAGAAUUUCUCUGAGAAUUCUUAAGAAAAAUCUUCGAUUCCCAUUCCAUAUGCUGCGAGAAACGAAACAAUGCGUAAAAAAGUCUGUAAUUUUGCUCUUAAGAUUUUUCAUCAAAAAUCCCAGAAACUUUAUCAUAGUUGCUUUUAUGACAAUGAAUCUUUCAUUUUACGUACGAAACUUCACAGAGAAUUCCUCAGGAACCAUCAAUAAAUGCCUGUUUUAACUACAUAUUGACAAUUGUCUGCAAUCUACAUGCACUCGGUGAGACAUUUUGAUAGGGACUCCUUCUUGAUUUUCUUGAUUAAGACACUUUACAGAGAUUUUCUUUGAUGAAUUCGGAAUCCUUUCAGUAUCAGCGAGAAUUAUGAAAGAAACUAUUUCUGGAAUUUCUCCUAUGAACUAUCCAGCCAGCAAUCCUUUAUAUAUUUAGUCAUGAAUACUUAUCGGAAUUGCUUCAUAUAUUUGUUAAAAAUAUUCAUCAAAAUGCCAUUUGAGAAAGUUGUUAUUUGUUCAGAAGUUUUGCCAGAAAUUCAAUCUGCAAGUGUGAUUUCUCAAGAACAUUUCAACAGGUACUCGUUCUGAAUAUCAAUAGAUAAUUUGGAUGGAAAUUUGAUUUGAUUUUGAUUGGAUUUUGAUUUGAUUUGGAUAUUUGAUUACUCAUCAGUAAUUGUAGAAAUUGUUUUAAGAAUUCUGUUUUAAAGUAUUCCCUCGAAUUGUGAAAAUUCCUGUUUGAAUGCAUCCAAAUUCAUUCAUUAGUCUGAACUAAUGACCUACAAGUUAUUACUGUUGCUGAUUUUCUUCGAAAACGUUUUCUCCUAUGCCCCGUUCAAAGACUCUAACUUCUAUACAUGAUUUACCAUUAAAGAUAACACGUUGUUUGAAGAGAUUUGAAAAUUACGUGAUUGCAUUCCGGUAUGGAUGGACAGUAAUGGAUUUUUGCGCGUUUGUUUUGAAAUGACUAGACACUUGGUGAAAAGUGGUUCUUCUGACCGAAAUUGCUAGUUAAUUAGGCUGAGUUGACUAUGUAUUUUUUGUUCGCGAUGAGAUUCAGUGGGUUUCCUGUGGAACAUGUUGCAUGAAAUCUUGUUUAGUGAAGCUCUGGAAAAAGCGCAGAUCUAGCAGGACGGACAAAAGGCAAAAGGCGCGUGGGUGGUUUACAAUGGUCAAUUUGGAUCAUUUUCAGCAUUUUUACACUGUGUACUAUCGUGUAAGCGAGAGAUUUUUGAGAUUUUGACCGAUUUUAAUGCAGUGGACACUACCUACGUCUGUGGGAGUUGGAUGGAAUUCAUUACGGGUAAUAAGAGAGCACAUGAUGGGUCAUUCCAGUCAAAUCUAACUUCCAAAAUUUACUUUUCUUGGGUUUUUAUCAUUAAUGCUGAAGUAACAGCAUAUUCAACGCAAAACCCUUUAGAAUGACUGAAAGCAUGGUAAUAUUUUGCACCAAAAGGUUGCAGGUUAGGAUUCUUCAGAACAUUUUUUUACAAUUUUGCAGGGAUUAAACCAAAAAAAUAAGAAAAUAUAUGAAGAUGUUUUGACGAGAAUGUGCCCAAAGAUGUUUCUAACAAUAAAAAAAAAACGAAAAAUAAACGUAUAAAGGAACGACGCUUAUCAAAUUAGUAUCACUACUAGCGCGUAAGCGGGGUAAUUAAGUAACGUGGUACGCCAAGGGAUCACAUUAAACUGGGUUAUUUGGGAGAAAUUUAGGGAAUUGGAGGUUCUUUGUGUUACCGAUGGGAGCUGGAAGAAACUAGUUGUAAAAAAGAGCUUACCUAUAUGUGUUACUUCCCAAUAUGAGUAUUCAACAGUUGUUUGUUUUUUUUUUCUGUUCGUGCGCACCUCUACAGAUAAAUUUUGAUUUGUCUUUCUAACAUUAACCAUAUCUCUUCGCGUGAGGGGGAUGGACACUAUUCCCCAGUCUGUCUAAAAAUUUCAACCGCUUUGUUCGCAUUCUUCUUCCGAAAGCUACCGUUCCUCAACCUUCAACUAUCACAUAUUUAUCAUUCACUUGCCGGUUAUAUGUAGCUGUAUGCAUUCUAAUAAAAACGGUGUUUGGUUAAAAUCAGAUCUCUUUCGCUAAAAAAAAAAACUUGAAACCCUAUGGCGACUGAAAUAAAUCCUUGGCUUGCUUCCUCUCCCAGGGAAGCGCUGCGAUUUUCGCGGAAAAUCCCUAACCUAUACGGCGGCGUUCCUAGUCCAAUUAUCUUCAUCUUUUCCACAGUCGUUCGCCUCAUUAUUGCUUGUUGUUUGUUCAUUUUUCUUCUUCACUUUUUUGUGUGCAGUUCUACUGAUAUCGUUUGUGUGUUUCCUAGGUUGGUAAAAUCUUUUCUGCAUUAAGAGUAUUUCCUUUUCCGAUUCGAUUGAAACAACAGUUGCUUCCGUUAGUGUUAUGAGUAUUCGCAUUCCGUGCCUAAGCUACCUUCCUAAAUUUAGAAUUUUUUCUUCAAGUUACCUGUGCAUUUUUUCCGUUAGGUUUAAUUUAUGAAUGUCGUAGAGGUGCUGCGCCUAUUGCAUCUCAUGCCUUGCAACGGUUCAAGUACGUUUGGCAUAAAACACGUUUGGCAUCAUUAAGCCAAACCUACAAGUCCCCUUGUAAUUGCCAUGUAUCCUACUAUUAGGCGAAAAUUGGAUGGGAUUGCUAAAACUGCUAGCUCAAGUCUUCUUAAGUAUG